rnacentral:lncRNA from 1 species
AUGCAGAAUCCAAGGAACAGGCAAAGGAGAUUAGAAACUAUGAAGCAGCAACAGAGGCGGCUGCAAGAUAACAUGUCAGGCCUGCAAUCUGGCUGGCCACUGGGACACCACUGCAUAUCCACAGCGUGUCUGCUGUGCACGAAUGGCAGCACCAAAGCAAUGCACAUUUUGGUUGCUGAGUUAUCUCCUGAAAGGGAAUCAGCACAGGCAGCUUGCAAAGCAGUUCAAGGUGGUCGAGUGGCGGAUGGCAAAGAGGAGGAUGAGGUGAACAGGACCAACCAGCCGUUUUACAUCUGCUCAGUGGCAAUGGCGGCAUCUUCUGGGCACCCAGGAUGUGAAAUCUGCAGAAUCCUGCCACCUUGAGAGCAGGCCCAGCACAGUGCUGUUCUCAGAUGGAAGAAUAGAGAAUGGAGGAGAGUCCACCCAUCCAAGCUUGAGGACAUCAUAGAUCCUCUUACAGCCUGCCAGGCCCUGACCUAUGUGAGACCAGCCCAGGUAAGAAAUGCUGCCUUCUCCACCUUCAGCUGACUGCAGACAUAUGUAGGUUUGUGAACGAUAAUCAGUGCUUACUGUUUCAAAUCAUUGUUGCAGGACAGUUUUUAACACAGCAAAAGCUAAGAUACUCAUGCACACAGAAGAAGCAUGCAUCAGUGGAAUGUCCACUUCGGUGGGAAAAUAGAACCCAGUGCUAAAUUUCCCAUUAAGCAUGCCAAGUGCAUUCUCAGCAAUGGGCACACAGAAUCUGCCCACUGACCCUGGAGGGCUCUGUUGUUACUAGGGAUUCCAAGAUUCCUUGUCCAUCUGCAGGGACAUGGAAACUAAAGGAGACUGUGGCUUCAUGGCUGGAAAGCCCGCUCAUUUGGCAUAGCUGAAAUGGGCGGGUUCCAACUGCAGCCAGGCUUUUAGAAAUGGGUGGGGGAGAGUUGUUAUGACAACCAGCAUACCCUCAUUGUGCUACCUAACUCUCAUGGUGGGUGGUGGGGUUCAAUGACUGUUGUCCACAGCAGGCCGAGAGUAAAGGUGAGGCAAGGCAGGCCUGAUUGUGCCUAAAGUGUUGCCCCAGACUGACUGACUAGGUGAAUAUCCACCAUUAUAAAGGUAAUGCAAAGACUCUAAGAAGAGGAUAGGUAACUCACUUUCAGGUGUGCAAAGUAAGGAGCGACCACUUGUGGUGGUAGUGAAGAGAGUGGGCUGUGUGGUUGAGGGAGCGCUGGUCUGGCUUUGAGGAGGCAGGAGGUCCCAUGCUGGUCAUUCACUCCCCCAUCUUCACCACCUCCUGGAGAGGCCUGCGGGCUGUGCAGCCACUGACGAGCGGGUGAGAGAAACUGUUGCUGCUGGCCCAAUUAUCUGUCCUUUUAGGCAAAGGAAUUCCUAUACAUUUCAGCAGAGAGCUCACCGUGUGCCUGUAAAUGCCAAGAAACCAAGUCACCAUCCAUUAGGGAGGCUGGUCUGUGUGCUGAAGCAGGAAGUGGGGCACGUGGGCCAUCCUCAAAGGCUCAUAGUGCUGGUAUGAGACACCCCAAAGCUAGGCUUGGACUCAAGUCUAUAGAGGCAGGGUUUCCCCUUGGUGGUGCAUGGGCUUCCCAUGUCAAGUUCCCAUGGGGGCUUUGUUAGACAUGUGGACUCCAGGAUCUGCAAACCUACUACCUCAGAACCAGGGGAACUCCUGGUUUAGCAGUCAGCCCUGGAUGCUUCUAGCACAUUAACUUGAAGAACCACUACCCUGAAGGAAAUUACCUGGCCCGGGAGGACCAGCAAGAGGCCUCAAGUGCAGGCUCCAAGUCCCCAUGGGCAAGCAUAGUGCUCCCUUGGGCCUUGCAACCACCCUGUUCUGCACACAUUCCCUCUUCUCUCCCAGUGGCUUCCAAACAUACCUGCACACCAGAAUUGCCUGGAAAUAUUUUUCUUUAAUGUGUAUUUCAAGGCCCUCCUCCCAGAUUAACUAAAUCAAAAUCUCAUAGGACAGGGCCCAGAAAUCAACGUGUAAUUUUAGAGAAAAAAACCCUAAAAUUCUCUAGUAGUCUUUGAUGCCCAAUCAGAUGAGGGGACCACUGGGCUCUGCCCAUCAGGGUCAUACGCAGAGGACACCAAUAGGUGACCCAUUCUUAACUCAAUUCUCAAGGACCUGAACCCAUCACCAGCCUUGGAGUGUAUUCACCCAGGAUAUGUGUUUUUACCAUUUAUCUUGGGGGCGCUCUGAGUCAACUAAUUCUUGAGUCUUUGAAACCCAGAGGGAGAACAAUGAACGUGAACUUGUAGGAGGCAAACUAAAACAACAUGCCAUCUGCAACAGAAUCGGCAUAAAUUCCCCAAAUGGCAUCGUGCUGCCAAGACAGCUCUCCAAGGCUCCGAUGUCUGCCUCAGUAGAGUACAGGCCCUGGAGAGGUUCAAUUAUCCUCCACACAUGUGCUCCUAGGGAGCCAGGCAAGAGAAGAGGCUGGAAUGUUCAACAAUAAAGUUCCUAGGGUUUAGAAGAAAGGGAGGGGCAGGUAAGCCAGAACUCGCUUGCAAUUCUGUUACAGCUUUGAUUGCUGAUAAUCGGUCAAUGGUUUGGUUGUGAUAUUUGCAUUAUUAACCUAGUUGAAAAAAUAACUGAUAGAUGGUGCCUUUCUUAGGGAUACAUAUCACAAGUGAAUAUCCAUUUGACAAAUAUUUAUCUACCAUGUGCAAAACGUGGGACAAACCACGCAGCGUCUGCUUUUAGGUUACUUAUGGAAAGGGAAGGGUGACAUCAGUGAGGGCCACCAGUUAAGGAGUUUAAGGGAAUAUGGUUCGGCUCAGGAAACAUAAGGUCAUUUUUUGGGAGCAGAUUAGAUUUGAGAAAUUGGUUGUGGAGCUUAAGGUGGGAGGAAGUACAUUUGGUGGAGGAGGAAAGACGGCACAAACCACGCACGGCCGCAGCUGGGAGUGGGGUAGGUUCGGAGAGCAGUACCGCAUUCUGUUAUUUUAGCACAGAAGAUUGGAGAGAUCCCAGGGUGAAAAAGGGAGAAUGGGGGCUUAAAGAAUGGCAGGCUGAGAGGUGGGGUGGCCUGUAGGCAGCAUGGGUGUCCAGUGAUCCUGGCCAUGUUUUCCCCUCACUCUGCAGAGAGCCUUAAAAUCCUUCUCCAUGCUGCACACUCCAUAGUGACCAGUAAUGGUGUGGGGUUGGCUCAUGAGGAAAGUUCUGCAAACCUUCUCCUAUACGAAAGCUAAGGAAUUAGCAUUUUAUUCUGGAGACAAUGACUGGAGAAAACAGUCUUUUUUUAUUUCCCCACUUGAAGGGGUGAUAUAAUCAAACAAGAUCUUCUGGAUGGUUAAUCUGCCAACAGAAUCUGGAAAGAACUGGGAUGGGGCAGGGCAUAGAUGAGCCUGGGAGGCCAGUGAGGAGACUUAGGAGGAUAAAAGCAAGCACCAUUUGUCCUGUGAUAGGUUCAACACACAGGCUGCCCUUGUCUUCUGCCUUCCUUCCUGUGCUCCCCUCCUCCUCCUGCUUCCUCUACUGACCUUCCCUGGUUGAUUUAUCCACUCAGAUGCCUCCCACCACCACCUGUAGGCCCAUGACUCCCAAAGGCACAUUUCUAGCUCCUCUUUGCUGAUCUUGGUCCCACACUUCCCAACUUCUCCUGACUCUUCCCCCAGUGUGGUGCUGGUUUCUCCAGCUCAGGAUUCCAGAAGUAAAUUUGUCAGGUACCCUACUAAAGCCUGCUUCUCCUCAGCUCCCUUCCUCGGCUGGGGCA